rnacentral:rRNA from 1 species
UACGUAGGGGGCAAGCGUUGUCCGGAUUUAUUGGGCGGAAAGAGCGUGUAGGCGGCUUGGUAGGUCCGCUGUGAAAACUCGAGGCUCAACCUCGAGAUGUCGGCGGAAACCACUUGGCUAGAGUCCGGAAGAGGAGAGUGGAAUUCCUGGUGUAGCGGUGAAAUGCGCAGAUAUCAGGAAGAACACCUAUGGCGAAGGCAGCUCUCUGGGACGGUACUGACGCUGAGACGCGAAAGCGUGGGGAGCGAACAGG